rnacentral:lncRNA from 1 species
UAAAGAGUUUCUCGCAGAAGAAGAAUUUUUUUUUAAAUUAAAAAAAUUCUAACUACUAUGCUAAAUCAUCAUUAGUAUGCUAAUAUUGCUAUCAGUAAAGUUUUUCGAUGCAAUUUGACCAAAAUCAGUUGAAAAGACUAUACGAAACCACACAUAAAAAAUCUGAAUAUCUUAUUAGAGAUUUUUAAAUUAUAAAAAUUAUUUAAAAUAUUACUAUACAUUACUU